GCAAAAUCUUCAAAGGUCAUUGAUAACCUUUUACCUUUAAUCUGAGUCUUGAAUCCCUUAUCAGUAAGCUUGAAGUUUGCGUAAAACUCCCUUAUCAGUUUUGGAUAACUGUCCAAAGUAGAUGAAAGAAAACCUUCAAGACCAUGAAAUCUCAAAUGAUCUUGGAAUGUGAAGCCUUCUGUAUCGAAGUAGGCAAAAUCCAG
rnacentral:lncRNA from 1 species